UUUAAGAGCUCCAAUUUGGAUAGCAAUACUUGUUUUUAGAAUUUUUGAAGUUAUAGUUUCUUUUAGGAUACGUGAAACAACUGACACUCUUUAGUUUGUGUUUUGUUUUUCUUUUAUUGGAUAUUAUAAAAUGGAUUAAAUUACCAUGAAAGUGAAAAGAUAGAUAUGGUUAUGGUUUCACAUAACCCCUGAAGUCUUAUCCAAUGGUUACUAUCUCUAUCUGAGAAUAAUAUCCAACUAAUU
rnacentral:lncRNA from 1 species